GAUGAACGCUGGCGGCGUGCCUAAUACAUGCAAGUCGAGCGAACAGACGAUGAGCUUGCUCCUCUGACGUUAGCGGCGGACGGGUGAGUAACACGUGGAUAACCUACCUAUAAGACUGGGAUAACUUCGGGAAACCGGAGCUAAUACCGGAUAAUAUAUUGAACCGCAUGGUUCAAUAGUGAAAGACGGUUUUGCUGUCACUUAUAGAUGGAUCCGCGUCGCAUUAGCUAGUUGGUAAGGUAACGGCUUACCAAGGCAACGAUGCGUAGCCGACCUGAGAGGAUGAUCGGCCACACUGGAACUGAGACACGGUCCAGACUCCUACGGGAGGCAGCAGUAGGGAAUCUUCCGCAAUGGGCGAAAGCCUGACGGAGCAACGCCGCGUGAGUGAUGAAGGUCUUCGGAUCGUAAAACUCUGUUAUUAGGGAAGAACAAAUGUGUAAGUAACUAUGCACGUCUUGACGGUACCCAAUCAGAAAGCCACGGCUAACUACGUG
rnacentral:rRNA from 1 species